rfam:Betaproteobacteria bacterium RIFCSPLOWO2_12_FTLL_67_28 rifcsplowo2_12_scaffold_1516, whole genome shotgun sequence.
GAACUGAAGAGUUUGAUCCUGGCUCAGAUUGAACGCUGGCGGCAUGCCUUACACAUGCAAGUCGAGCGGCAGCGCGGGGGCAACCCU